rnacentral:lncRNA from 1 species
UUUCUUAAUGAUUCACAUCAAUACAGUCGCUAUUUAUCUUGUGCAAGACUUAGUUACAUUUAUCCUUAUCUUCUAAAUCCAUACAACCUAGACUAACUAACUAACCAAUUCUUGUAAUCUAGCCUUUCACACAUUGACAAAUGUCACAAUCAUAAUGGCUUGAUUAUAUACUCUAACAAUUUAGACAAUCAACAGGUUACUUUGAAAUUUAUAUUAUUGUUCAGUUGUUAGAGCCACUGAAUCUCCCAACCAACAAGGCAUUGUGUUCCUCUCUCAAGCUUUUAUAUAUCUCAAUCAGGCUCUUCAAAGUUUCCAUUCUCUCCUGUACAUUUGUAACCGACUUCUUUUCCUGCAAACGAAGCUUGGUUGAUGCGAUUUGCUUCUUCAGCUCUUGAAUCCGUGUUUCUUUCUCCUCUAGCUCUAUAUGUAGCCUUCGUAAUUUUGUUGGAUCAGUUAUAAAUAACUUCAAAAAUUAAUGAACAAACCCUAACCAAGUGAGACAAACGCUACCCUAUUUUUCGAUAUUUUUCAUAUGCCAUAUGAGAGGACUAAUGUAAAAAACCCCUUUAGGAAAUUGUGAGAGCUACAGGAAAGAAGGUACCAUAGGUGGAAAGGAAGAGAAUAGGGGUGGUGUUUGCUGCUGCUACCCUCCAUUACUUCACAAAAUUUUUAUCACGUCAGAAGAAUAUAAAACAAUAAUAUUAGUUUCCUCCCUUAUCAUUAGAUUUUUUUUUUUUUUUACUUUACAAACCAUGUUUACGCAAAAAGAAAAUUCUUUUUGUUUUUUUUAGUACAUCGAUAUUUUUACCUUGAGGAGAGGGGGAGUUCGGCAAAUCCGCACAAUGGGCAGCCUAAUUUGUUAUCGAAUUCGCCAUCCACAAGAUUCGAACCUAAGACCUUUCACUUUCAAGUGAAGAAAAAUACUACCAGAGUGUAGUAUUGAGUGGCCGCUAAAAGAAAAUCUUAAAACCACUAAUAAAAUAAAGAAUAUUGUUGCAGUCAUAUUUAGAAUAUGAAUGUGAUUGUGUAAAUCCUAGGGAAUUUGGGAAAGUAUCUUAUAUUCUUAUUAGGAUUAGAUUACCUAUUAAAUGUUGUAAUCCUAGAGGGAAAGGUUUUACCAUUCCUACUAAUAUAAAUAA